GCAUUAAUGGGGUAGUGGUAACCUGGGUCGUUGCCAUCACAUGAGGGCUCGUUGUUGUCGACUCGCCGGGGGUUCGAUUCCCCUUAAUGCA